UAUAGAUAAUUAUCUAUAUGUACACGCUGUAUUACGAUUGCUGGGCCUUAUAUAGUCAUUGUGAAUCAUAAAAUUCAUUUGACAGUGUUUCAUUUUUGCUGUUUUCAUACAUCAAGGUUCAUUGUUAGUUGCCAUCAAGGUUUAUUAUCAGAUAAAGGCAAAGAUCAUAUGGCUUCGGUGCUAAUUACAAACUCAGAUCAAGAGAUUACAUGUACAUACAUAAAGAUGCAUAUCAUUAGAAAGACUUCUCACUCUCUAUGAUUUCAACUGUAAACGAUAGCGGUCAAAGGUAAAAUCAUGAAGCUCAAAAAUAGUUCUCUUCUUUAAUUGUACCAGUAAAUUUCUUCGGAAAGGAACUAAACCCCU